ensembl:lncRNA
GUAUAGAUGCACUACCUCGUCCUCAUUUUUCUGUCUGGACAUUUUGGUGGAUUCUAUGUCUUGCUUAUUAUAGACAGUGCUGCCCUGACAAUCAAGGUUUGGCAUUCUGCUGAGGACAACAGGCACUCCAGGUCCAUUUUGGAGGCACACUGCUUGCCCCAUGCUCCUAUCUCCCUCAGCCCCAGGACAUUCCAGACUUGGGACCCAAGCCAAUCAGGUUCCAGUUCUCCCGAGGGCCUGACCAGUAGGGAUGGAGCUAGUCUUCUGGAUGUUCAUCUUCCAAGAUUCCAGCCUAGUGGAACCCUGUCUCCUCCUUCAAAAGCGUCACUGGAAAGGUUUUGCUACGGGUUCUUUACCACUGAGCCACCCAGGAAGCCCCUCAGCUGCCGGACUUUCCCUAAUUGUCUCCAGACCCCUCCAGCCAGCCUCCAGCUCCGUCCAGUCAGGACCAUCCGACGGCCCAGCACAGGAGGGUCUCUUAACGAGGCUACACAUCCAGAAGACGUCUUUCUACCUGAACCCUCAUACCUCUUUUCUGCCACAAAACCAAACUGAGCACAGGAGGUCAGGGUGUC